CCUACGGGAGGCAGCAGUAGGGAAUCUUCCACAAUGGGCGAAAGCCUGAUGGAGCAACGCCGCGUGGAUGAAGAAGGUCUUCGGAUCGUAAAACCCUGUUGUUAGAGAAGAAAGUGCGUGAGAGUAACUGUUCACGUUUCGACGGUAUCUAACCAGAAAGCCACGGCUAACUACGUGCCAGCAGCCGCUGUAAUACGUAGGGGGCAAGCGUUAUCCGGAUUUAUUGGGCGUAAAGGGAACGCAGGCGGUCUUUUAAGUCUGAUGUGAAAGCCUUCGGCUUAACCGGAGUAGUGCAUUGGAAACUGGGAGACUGGAGUGCAGAAGAGGAGAGUGGAACUCCAUGUGUAGCGGUGAAAUGCGUAGAUAUAUGGAAGAACACCAGUGGCGAAAGCGGCUCUCUGGUCUGUAACUGACGCUGAGGUUCGAAAGCGUGGGUAGCAAACAGGAUUAGAUACCCCAGUAGUC
rnacentral:rRNA from 1 species